CGUACAAGCAGUGGGAGCCUACUUGUUAGGUGACUGCGUACCUUUUGUAUAAUGGGUCAGCGACUUAUAUUCAGUGGCAAGCUUAACCGUAUAGGGUAGGCGUAGCGAAAGCGAGUCUUAAUAGGGCGUUUAGUCGCUGGGUAUAGACCCGAAACCGGGCGAUCUAUCCAUGAGCAGGUUGAAGGUUAGGUAACACUGACUGGAGGACCGAACCCACUCCCGUUGAAAAGGUAGGGGAUGACUUGUGGAUCGGAGUGAAAGGCUAAUCAAGCUCGGAGAUAGCUGGUUCUCCUCGAAAGCUAUUUAGGUAGCGCCUCAUGUAUCACUCUGGGGGGUAGAGCACUGUUUCGGCUAGGGGGUCAUCCCGACUUACCAAACCGAUGCAAACUCCGAAUACCCAGAAGUGCCGAGCAUGGGAGACACACGGCGGGUGCUAACGUCCGUCGUGAAAAGGGAAACAACCCAGACCGCCAGCUAAGGUCCCAAAGUUGUGGUUAAGUGGUAAACGAUGUGGGAAGGCUUAGACAGCUAGGAGGUUGGCUUAGAAGCAGCCAUCCUUUAAAGAAAGCGUAAUAGCUCACUAGUCGAGUCGGCCUGCGCGGAAGAUGUAACGGGGCUCAAACCACACACCGAAGCUGCGGGUGUCACGUAAGUGACGCGGUAGAGGAGCGUUCUGUAAGCCUGUGAAGGUGAGUUGAGAAGCUUGCUGGAGGUAUCAGAAGUGCGAAUGCUGACAUGAGUAACGACAAUGGGUGUGAAAAACACCCACGCCGAAAGACCAAGGGUUCCUGCGCAACGUUAAUCGACGCAGGGUUAGUCGGUUCCUAAGGCGAGGCUGAAAAGCGUAGUCGAUGGGAAACAGGUUAAUAUUCCUGUACUUCUGGUUACUGCGAUGGAGGGACGGAGAAGGCUAGGCCAGCUUGGCGUUGGUUGUCCAAGUUUAAGGUGGUAGGCUGAAAUCUUAGGUAAAUCCGGGGUUUCAAGGCCGAGAGCUGAUGACGAGUCGUCUUUUAGAUGACGAAGUGGUUGAUGCCAUGCUUCCAAGAAAAGCUUCUAAGCUUCAGGUAACCAGGAACCGUACCCCAAACCGACACAGGUGGUC
rnacentral:rRNA from 1 species